GGGAGUAUAGCUCAGUGGUGGAGUGCAUGCUUAGCAUGUAUGAGGUCCUGGGUUCAAUCCCCAGGACUGCCA
rnacentral:tRNA from 1 species